UACGGAGGAUGCGAGCGUUAUCCGGAUUUAUUGGGUUUAAAGGGUGCGUAGGCGGGAUGCCAAGUCAGCGGUAAAAAUGCGGUGCUCAACGCCGUCGAGCCGUUGAAACUGGCGUUCUUGAGUGGGCGAGAAGUAUGCGGAAUGCGUGGUGUAGCGGUGAAACGCAUAGAUAUCACGCAGAACUCCGAUUGCGAAGGCAGCAUACCGGCGCCCUACUGACGCUGAGGCACGAAAGCGUGGGUAUCGAACAGG
rnacentral:rRNA from 1 species